UCCCUAGUAGCUAAGAUGGUAAAGCAUCCGCCUGCAAUGCAGGAGACCUGGGUUUGAUCCCUGGGUUGGGAA
rnacentral:tRNA from 1 species